UUCUCAAAGUCGCAACUCAUUCAUGAGACGCGCGCGCGUUCCGUCGUCAUUCGCAGUGAAUGCUGAUUGCUAGAAGUGAUUGUAUGAAAAAGCAAAAAAAAAAAAUAAUAAAAAAUAUAAAACACAAAUUAAAACAUAAUAAUAAAAUUAAGUAUGAAAACAAAUGCUUAAAAAAUGAAAAACAAACAACUACAAAUUGCAAAUGUUUAAUAAAACGCAAUAUUCAGUAUACAAUAUUUGUAUGUGUGUUUGUAUGUACGCUCAUUAAAAAAUCAGCUAAUCGUAUAUUUACCUCGUCUAUAUUCACUGCGAGCGCUGCAAUUAACGUUUAUAAAAUUGAUGAAAUGUGCAUGAGAGAUUAAUAACGGCAUUACAAUCAGCCAUAAAAGUUACGAAUGCGUGAAAACACAGCGAGGAACGGCUGUAAAAUAUACUCACUCGGUCAGCAGUGUAUGAGAACCCGCGCGUUCAGGCGUCUCCAUAUCCGAUCGUUAUCUACCACAUAUGCGCCACAAAAUUGUCGUGUAAACAAACUCCUCGCUUGCGUCUGCAGAAUACUUAGUGUCAAGUUGCGUUUAAUAGCGAUUCGCGAACGGACCAACAAUACAUAUUUAUGUACUUACACACAUACACGAGUACAACGGCGAUCGGGCAGCAAUCAGCUAGAGCUAGCCACUGAGCGAGCCAGCCACAGCCAUCGAACCAAUUCGCCAGCAACGCGCUGCCGAACGGCGACGCAUGGAGCUUGGGAUUGCCCGCGUGUCUGCGAGUGCGACAAAGGCGAUUACAAGCGCGAUUCCAAACUUUAGCAGAUAUCAAUCCACACGCUGAGCAUAAUUAAUUUGCCUUAGCCUUAUGCCAUUUGUGUCGGUCAGUAAGUAGUGAGAGCUAACUUGGUGUGCCCCGUAUACAGAACCCCAGCCAGCGACGAAACUUGAUUAUUGAUCACGUACGCGUCCGUAUCUGCCCGCCGCGGCAAUGCGCUACCGACAGCGCCUGCCUACUGCUAUAAGUGUUUGCAAAGUCACAUAAAUAAUUGUAUAUUUGUAAACAUAUACAUAUAUUAGUUCAUUGGUUUGUAGAUAUGCUCACGCGAUUGCUCUGAAUAUUGCCACAUAUUUAUGUAUGUAUGUAUGUGCAUACAUUUGUAUGUCCAUAAUUAUAAACUUAAGUUUGUGCGUGCGUAACAAUCGAUGUUCUACAACAAAAUUCUACAAAUAAGUAUUAUAAGUGUACUACGUAAAUAUGCAUAUGUACAUAUGUACGACAAGGAGAAUAAAUAAAAUUAACAAUAACAACAUCAAAGCCCACAAACAAUAAGCUGCUGUGCUCCACCUCGCAAUGCUAUCGAGUCUGCUCGCAACAAUUGCUACUCUAUAAACGAUAUGAUUAUGCUGAAUAAUGAAAAAUGUAUCUAUGCAAUUUGGCAAUGAAAUUACUAAAAGUCCGAAAUUUUGGAUAUCAGCAAAAGUUUCCGAAUAAAAAUUCCAUCUAAAAUGUAUCCAUGCA
rnacentral:lncRNA from 1 species